rnacentral:rRNA from 1 species
AUUGAACGCUGGCGGAAUGCUUUACACAUGCAAGUCGAACGGCAGCACGGACUUCGGUCUGGUGGCGAGUGGCGAACGGGUGAGUAAUGUAUCGGAACGUGCCCAGUCGUGGGGGAUAACGUAGUGAAAAUUACGCUAAUACCGCAUACGAUCUAUGGAUGAAAGCGGGGGAUCGCAAGACCUCGCGCGAUGGGAGCGGCCGAUAUCAGAUUAGGUAGUUGGUGGGGUAAAGGCCCACCAAGCCAACGAUCCGUAGCUGGUCUGAGAGGACGACCAGCCCCACUGGAACUGAGACACGGUCCAGACUCCUACGGGAGGCAGCAGUGGGGAAUUUUGGACAAUGGGCGAAAGCCUGAUCCAGCCAUUCCGCGUGCAGGAUGAAGGCCCUCGGGUUGUAAACUGCUUUUGUACAGAACGAAAAGGUUUCUACUAAUACUAGGAGCUCAUGACGGUACUGUAAGAAUAAGCACCGGCUAACUACGUGCCAGCCGCCGCCGUAA